AAGACCCUGUCUCAAAAAACAAAAAAGCAAAAAAAAAAAAAAAACCAAAAAACAAAACCUACAUGGUCGGGUACAGUGACUACGCCCAUAAUCCCAGCACUUUGGGAGGCCAAGGUAGGUCGAUCACUUGAGCCCAGGAGUUCAAGACCAGCCUGGGCAACAUAGUGAGAGACCCCCACCAAUAUGUACAAAACAAACAAACCCAAAACAACUGAAGAAACAGCUACAGCAUAAAAAGUCAUCAUCAUAACUAGUUUGUGGAGAAAUGGCUUCAGGUGAUCCCUUCCUGCUCCCUCACCCCAGGUCCAAUCUAUACCAGUUCCUGUUGACGUCAUCUACUGAAUCUCAUCACGUCCCCCCAUCCGCUAUGCCACCAGUCCUGCUUAGAGUCAACGUCAUCCCAUUUUGCCGAUAAGCAUUUUGCUGAUCUUCAAUUUUAGCCUGCUGGGUGUGGAGGAUUCCAACCCAAUUAACAGACAAGGAAGCUGAAGGAGCAGGAGUGUCUACACUCUAGCUGUCAGGAUGCUAUGGGAUACAGCAGAGAAUAAAAGGGACAAAGCCUCGACUUUCAUGGAUCUUACAUCCUGGUGCGGGAGCCAGAUAGCAAUUCUCUUUCCAGAGUGAUGCGCAAACAAACCCUCAGAUGCAAGGUGAAAGCCUGAAGCUUAGAGACAAAUAUUUAGUUGCAUCUAGGGAGAAUUUUCCUAAAGUUCGUAAAAUUGGUACAUAGAGGAACCUCCCCUCCUGGCCAGAGUCUGCAUCUGAGCACUAAGUCGAGACAGCGUUUCAACAUGUUGGCCAGGCUGA
rnacentral:lncRNA from 1 species